CGAUGGUACUGCCCUGGAGACGGGGUGGGAGAGUAGGACGCCGCCGGAC
rnacentral:rRNA from 1 species